rnacentral:lncRNA from 1 species
UCAUGGCUACUCUCAUCAUGCAAUGCAUAGUUGUGUAGUCAUUAAGUCACUUCAUGUAAGUAUCUCUCACGGCACGAGGAGCAUUGGCUACAGGUUCUUCAGGUAUCUGAUCCGUAAGGAUGUAUAAAAUCUUUUUGUGCUUUGAGAUGAUCUUUAACUUUCGAUAUCAGUUAUCGAAGUUCGGUCCGAUGAGCUUAUCGCU